UACGACUACAUCACGUUGGAACGCCGGUUCCCGACAGAUAGCCGAAGUUAAACAACGUCGAGCCUGAUCAGUACCUAGAUAGGUUACCGCAUGGGAAUAGCAAGUGCUGUAAU